UUAGUUGAAACCAAAAUAGAGGUAUAUCACUGUUAAUGAUAACAAUGGAUUUUUUUCCCAAUUAAA
rnacentral:tRNA from 2 species